UACGGAGGGUGCAAGCGUUAAUCGGAAUUACUGGGCGUAAAGCGUGCGUAGGCGGUUCGUUAAGUCUGUUGUGAAAGCCCCGGGCUCAACCUGGGAAUGGCAAUGGAUACUGGCGAGCUAGAGUGUGUCAGAGGAUGGUGGAAGUUCCCGGUGGUAGCGGUGAAAUGCGUAGAGAUCGGGAGGAACAUCAGUGGCGAAGGCGGCCAUC
rnacentral:rRNA from 1 species